rnacentral:rRNA from 1 species
UAAGCCAUGCAUGUCUAAGUCCAAGCUGUGUGUUGUGGGUGAAAGCUUGCACACACGGCGAAACCGCGGACGGCUCAUUAAAUCAGUCGUGGUCCAAAUGGGCUAGUGUUAUCUUACUUGGAUAACUGUGGUAAUUCCAGAGCUAAUACAUGCAACUGUAAGUCCGAGUGGCUUGCGUGGCAACAUGCUCGCUGCGACGACUGCUUUUAUUAGACCAAACCGCUGAGAGAUGCGCACAUGCGUGUGUAUCUCGUAGACUCGUGUUAUGGUGACUCUGAAUAACACCUCAUGACAAGCGCACGUAUCCAUUUAUUUGGGACGGCGCUGCCACUUUCGAGUGUCUGCCUUAUCAGCUAUGUAUCGUUCGUUAUGUGCGACCGAUGGCUUUGACGGGUAACGGGGAAUCAGGGUUCGAUUCCGGAGAGGCAGCCUGAGAAACGGCUACCACGUCCAAGGACGGCAGCAGGCACGCAAAUUACCCAAUCCCAGCAACUGGGGGAGGUAGUGACGAAAUCUAACGAUGCGGGCGCCCCUUCUGGGGCCCCGCAAUCGGAAUGAGCGUUUUUUUCUAAACAUACCGUUGAGAACUACUGAAGGGCAAGUCUGGUGCCAGCAGCCGCGGUAAUUCCAGCUUCAGCAGCAUCUACUAAAGUUGCUGCGGUUAAAAGGCUCGCAGUUGAAUGUCAGUAUCAAGUGCAGCGAUGGUGGACGUUGGAGUGUGGGUUAGUUAGUUGGCGGUUGUACUUGGCUUCGGCUCUGUGCAGCGUCGGCUUCUGCUCGCUUUAACUCCCGUCCGUAACAAGCCUCCUCACUUGCUUACAAAAUGGAAUCUAAUGGUGGAAGUGUUUUAUACUGUGUUCAUCGGCGAGCUCUCGUGCGCGCUCGCUUUUACGUGGGUGUGUGUCUUGGGUGAGUUGGUGUGGCGCGGUGUCUCUGUAAGCUGGAUUUCAAUGUCACCUUGAGUAAAUCAGAGUGCUCAAAGCAGUCGUAAAGGAUGUGCGGCGUUAACGCGUCGUACGUUCUGUGAUGAAUGUCUAUAUGACAGACGGUCUUGAUUUUGCAUGGUAUGUCGAAAGACGCCGUAUUUCCUGUUGGUAACGAGUCUGGUGCGGGCUCGCAUCCAGGGGCCUCUCUCGCCGUUUACGGUGAGGGUUGUAGUCUUUGAGUGUGACACACGAGACCAACAGGUGCGGAAUGAUUAAAAGGUUCGGUCGAGGGCAUUGGUAUUGCGAGGCGAGAGGUGAAAUUCUAUGACCCCCGCAAGACCUCCUGAAGCGAAAGCGUCUGCCAAGGACGUUUCAUAAUCAKAACGACCAGGCGUGGAGCCUGCGGCUUAAUUUGACUCAACACGGGCCAUCUCACCAGGCCAGCACUCUUGUACGAUUGACAGAUUGAGAGUUCUUUCUCGAUUCAGUGGAUGGUGGUGCAUGGCCGUUCUUAGUUGGUGGAGUGAUCUGUCUGGUUAAUUCCGAUAACGAACGAGACUCUCCCCUGCUAAAUAGUCGGUUGGAUUUUGCGUUCGAGGGUGUCGUGUGGCUUGUGUUUGUGUGGGUGUGCUUUUAUGUGCGCUCGCGCGGCUCUUUGUUGCACCUCCCUCCAAGUCCGCCGCUUACUUACACAAGUGGAGUGUAACAGCGAAGCUAUAUGAGUAAAACUCUUCUUAGAGGGAUUCACGGUUCUGAAGCCGUAAGAAACUGAGAGCAAUAACAGGUCUGUGAUGCCCUUAGAUGUUCUGGGCCGCACGCGCGCUACAAUGCCGGGCACAGCAGGUAUAUAUCCUUCUCCGAGAGGAGUGGGUAACCCUCUGAAAGCCCUUGAAACAAUUUACCAGAGUAGAGUCAUCACUUCGCGUGUUGUCUCUGCUUCCUUGGCUUGCUUGGGCCUGUGGCUUGCAAUUUUUUCACACAAACGAGGAAUGCCUAGUAGCGGCGGAUCACUGAGUUCGCUGUGACUCAGUCCCUGCCCUUUGUACACACCGCCCGUCGCUACUACCGAUUGGGUGUACCAGUGAGAUCCUUGGACUGGCGAGCCUUGUGUUUUAGCAAUAGAGCGCAAGUGUGUACGACGGAAAGAGGUUCGAACUGGUGCACUUAGAGGAAGUAAAAGUCGUAACAAG